rnacentral:rRNA from 1 species
GACGAACGCUGGCGGCGCGCUUAACACAUGCAAGUCGAACGGAAAGGCCUGCUUUCCCUUGUGGAUUGCGGGUACUCGAGUGGCGAACGGGUGAGAACACGUGAGUGAUCUGCCCCCAACUUGGGUAUAAGCCUGGGAAACUGGGUCUAAUUCCCGAUAGGACUGCAGGGUGGUGCCUGUGGUGGAAAACGAUUUUCUAGUGGUUGGGGAUGAGCUCGCGGCCUAUCAGCUUGUUGGUGGGGUAAUGGCCUACCAGGGCGGCGACGGGUAGCCGGCCUGAGAGGGUGGACGGCCACAUUGGGACUGAGAUACGGCCCAGACUCCUACGGGAGGCAGCAGUGGGGAAUAUUGCACAAUGGGCGGAAGCCUGAUGCAGCGACGCCGCGUGGGGGAUGACGGCCUUCGGGUUGUAAACUCCUUUCGACCGCGAGGAAGCCACCUGGUUGGAAGGGUGGUGACGGUAGUGGUAGAAGAAGCACCGGCUAACUACGUG